rnacentral:rRNA from 1 species
AGAGUUUGAUUAUGGCUCAGGAUGAAUGCUGGCGGCAUGCCUAAUACAUGCAAGUCGAGCGGUAACAGGACUAGCUUGCUAGUUGCUGACGAGCGGCGGACGGCUGAGUAACGCAUGGGAACGCACCCCAAACUGAGGGAUAACUAGUCGAAAGAUUAGCUAAUACCGCAUGUGAUCUUCGGAUUAAAGCCUUCGGGCGGUUUGGGAGCGGCCUGUGUACGAUUAGCUAGUUGGUGAGGUGAUGGCUCACCAAGGCGACGAUCGUUAGAUGGUUUGAGAGGAUGAUCAUCCAGACUGGAACUGAGACACGGUCCAGACUCCUACGGGAGGCAGCAGUAGGGAAUCUUUCACAAUGGGCGAAAGCCUGAUGGAAGCAAUGCCGCGUGCAAGACGAAGGCCUUCGGGUUGUAAACUGCUUUUAUAAGCGAGGAAUAUGACGGUAACUUAUGAAUAAGGAUCGGCUAACUGCGUGCCAGCCGCGGC